CUCACAUUUGUGUGAAUAUUUGAUUAUAUCUUUUCAUGUGACAACACUGAAGAAAUGACACUUUGCUACAAUGUAAAGUAGUGAGUGUACAGCUUGUGUAACAGUGUAAAUUUACCGUCCCCUCAAAAUAACUCAACACACAGACAUUAAUGUCUAAACCGCUGGCAACAAAAGUGAGUACACCCCUAAGUGAAAAUGUUCAAACUUCCAGUGACCAGUAUGAGGGAGUGUGAGAGCAAUGGCACCAAAUUUAACACACCUGCUCCCCAUUCACACAUUUUCACUUAGGGGUGUACUCACUUUUGUGAACCACCUCAACUGGCUCCUUUCAACGCAAAGGAGCAACGGCUCUAGUCUGAGUUCCUCUCGGAUAACCGAGCUUCUCACCCUAUCUCUAAGGGAGAGGCCACCCACCUGAGAAAACCCAUUUCGGCUGCUUGUACCCGCGAUCUAAUUCUUUCGGUCACUAGGGUAAAAUCUUUCUUUUCUUUUUUUUUUUAAAUCAGACAUUACAUCCUAGGCAAAUGUUUAUUUUAAUAUUUACAAAUAUAUAGCUAUAAUUGCAUCAGUCUUCACAAUGUUUGACAUUCAGUACGUUUACAUGGACAACAGUAUUCAGAUAUUAACCCGAUAAAGACGAUACUCUGAUUAAGAAACCAGCAUGUAAACAGUGAUUAUUGAUGACCUUUAUCUGACUAAGGUCAUACUCGGAGUAAACAAAUAUCGAAUUGAUACAUGUGGAGUAUUCCUGUUUUAGUCGCAUUAUCGACGUGCAUUAUUGACUACAUUUACGUGUACAGCAGUGAUCUAAUUUUUGACAUUAUUCUGAUUAAUACAAUACUGUGAUUAAGGUGUUUACAUGAGUCGCUUUUAGAAUACUCCUUUCAUGUUCCUGUUUUACGUGUUAUAGAACAGAGAUCGAUUAAGGGCACACAUCAUUGCAUCCCCACACCACCCCGUCUGACGUCCCUCCAGAAUUUCACGUAUCAACAUACAGUUGGUCUUCGUUAUGGGACCAUAUACAGUUUUGGAUGUUUUUAAUUUUUAAUUUUACGAAAGCUUCAAGUGCAGUUAAUUAUGUCAUGCUGUACAUGCAAAUAGACAACUGCUUGAAGCCAUGGGCUGUGUCCCAAACCGCGUACUUGCGUGUAUUUCACUUACUAUAUAGUACGUAAGUACGUGGUUUGGGACGCAGCCACGCUCUCUUGUUUACCGUCAGACAGUUGAGUACGUGUGUGUACGUGUCCUGUUGCACAAUGCGGUGAAAAUUCACACACAAUGUUAAUGGUGUGAUUAAAGUGUGUACUUUGUACCUUAUACCUGUGUACCUUAGGUGUGUUUCUUCCACCACACUGAGAAGUUGUUGACCGCGACCGAUUUGGAAAACCGCUUCAAAGCAGAACUCAGCCCAGCAGUUUGCUGUAUAGGAGGCCAGUCCUGCAGUGAGGGAGAAGCGACGGUGACCUAAUCCUGAAUCCAGAUUUGGGACAGACACCUGACGUGUCGUCUUGAUCAGACGUUCUCAUGCUUGGUGUGUAAACUGCAGCAUAAUGGAAUAGUGUGUGUCCUUACAGACUCCAGAUGUGUGUGUUUUCAUCCACUUGGACAAAGCCCUGUGUCUUCAGCAUCACACACCCUUCAUCCAGACUGUGGAGUCACAAAGUGUACAUACAUACAUACA
ensembl:lncRNA